rnacentral:lncRNA from 1 species
ACAGCUUUUCCAGUAGCUUUGAAUUGAUGUUCUUUUUCUCUAGUUCUAUUCACUCAAUAAGCUGCACUAAUAUGUGUAUUCAAAAUUGUGAUCCCAAAUCACUUUUAAUUGACAUCACAUAGCAUUAUAAUUCUUUUUGGUAGCAACAAAUUUGCCUAUUUCUUAUCUUGCUAAUGAAGGUUGUUUUUAAAAUCAAUUUGCAUUCCAUGAGAGAAUAAGAACAAAUUGGAAGUAAAGCAGCCUACAGCAGGGAAGUCGCUCUGAAAUUUUAAAUUUGCUGGUGGGUAAUCUACCCUAUAUUGAUAAUGAGUUGUAUCUGUGUGGCAUAAAUGAGAUAUUUUAAUAUCAAGCCAUUGCCAGGUUUUGAUAAAAAGCUGUCAUAGAUUCCCACAGAUAGUAAAAUCUUAUUAAAUUGGACUUCACCUGAUCAGCAUUUGUGAAAAUUUGAGUAGAGUUAAUGUACCUAUAAAACUUUAAAGAAAUUGUUUAGUUACCUGAGAGAAACAAAGACUUAUCUGGGGUUUUUUUAGUAGCUUUCAUUAACUUGUAAUUUAAUUGCAAAGUAGCAGGGCCCAUAGGUACUUAGGUAAUCUUUUAACAUGCUAAUUAUAAAUCAUUGUCUAUUUAUUAAAAACAAUGCUUUUUUUCAUACCAAGCUUUUUUUUUUUUUUUUUAGGUUUCCUUUAGUUCUGCAUGUCCUAGAAAUAAGUAAAAUUUUCAUUUUUUUGAAGGUAUUCUUAAUAUAUUUUAUUAAUUUGGAUUAGUCUUCCCAUAAUUAAUCCCAAUUUGGUGAGGUUUUUCCACAUGCUGCAGGAUGAAUUUAUCUUUUUGUGACCAUUCUUAAAGGAAAUCAACUUUCUGUUGCACAGCAAAACCUUUUCAUUUGUUGACAUUAAGAAAAAUGGAAACUUUCAUGGUUUUAUUAAAAGUGACUUUUGUACAAUUACAAUGUAUUUGGAAGUCAAUUUUGUAAUAAACAUGUUACGAUAAAAUUGAUACAGCCUUGAUAGUAAAUGUAAAAAUAGAG